GACGAGCCUCACAAACGUUAUUCGGAAUUACUGGGCGUAAAGUGUGCGCAGGCGGCCGCGCAAGUCGAGUGUGAAAUCCCCGAGCUUAACUUGGGAAUUGCGCUCGAAACUACGUGGCUGGAGUGUGGCAGAGGAAGGUGGAAUUCCACGUGUAGCGGUGAAAUGCGUAGAGAUGUGGAGGAACACCGAUGGCGAAGGCAGCCUUCUGGGCCAACACUGACGCUCAUGCACGAAAGCGUGGGGAGCAAACAGG
rnacentral:rRNA from 1 species